AGUCGGACGGGAUCGGGAAGGUAGCAAUAUCGGCCCGUGAGAGUGGCGGAAGGGCGAGGAACACGUGAGCAACCUGUCCUUGAGGUGGGGAAAACCGCUGGAAACGGCGGCUAAUACCGAAUGCGGCGCCGGGAGACAUCUCCCGAGCGCUAAAGGGGGCCGCAAGGCUCCCCCUCUUCGAGGGGCUCGCGCACCAUCAGCUUGUUGGCGGGGUAACGGCCCACCAAGGCUCACGGUUAGCUGGUCUGAGAGGAUGGCCAGCCGCACUGGGACUGAGAUACUGCCCAGACUCCUACGGGAGGCUGCAGUCGAGGAUCAUUCGCAAUGGGGGAAACCCUGACGAUGCGACGCUGCGUGGAGGAUGAAGGCCCUCGGGUCGUAAACUCCUGUCAUGAGGGAAAAGGCGAAGGGACCCAACACGUUCCCUAGUUGAUGGUACCUCAAGAGGAACGGGCGGCUAACUCUGUGCCAGCAACCGCGGUAAUACA
rnacentral:rRNA from 1 species